AAUAGAUACCCGGUAGUCCACGCCGUAAACGAUGAGUGCUAAGUGUUAGAGGGUUUCCGCCCUUUAGUGGCUGCAGCUAACGCAUUAAGCACUCCGCCUGGGGAGUACGGCCGCAAGGCUGAAACUCAAAGGAAUUGACGGGGGCCCGCACAAGCGGUGGAGCAUGUGGUUUAAUUCGAAGCAACGCGAAGAACCUUACCAGGUCUUGACAUCCUCUGCUAACCCUAGAGAUAGGGCGUUCCCCUUCGGGGGACAGAGUGACAGGUGGUGCAUGGUUGUCGUCAGCUCGUGUCGUGAGAUGUUGGGUUAAGUCCCGCAACGAGCGCAACCCUUGAUCUUAGUUGCCAGCAUUCAGUUGGGCACUCUAAGGUGACUGCCGGUGACAAACCGGAGGAAGGUGGGGAUGACGUCAAAUCAUCAUGCCCCUUAUGACCUGGGCUACACACGUGCUACAAUGGAUGGUACAAAGAGCUGCGAACCCGCGAGGGUAAGCCAAUCUCAUAAAGCCAUUCUCAGUUCGGA
rnacentral:rRNA from 1 species